GCCCACGACGGUCUGCGCGGCAGACUGCGCUUUCGACGUGCGGGUCGCGAGGUCCGGCGCGUAGUUCAGCGCCGCGCGUGCGCC
rnacentral:tRNA from 1 species